UCGUGCUAAGCGGGGAGAUAGCGGUGCCCUGUACUCGCAAUCCGCUCUAGCGAGGCUGAACUCCUCUUGGAGGUUUGCCAUUCCGAGCCACUGACGACAGUCGGUCGGCGUUGAUAGUUGGGUCCUGCGCGGCGGAAAGCCGUGAACCCCGUCAGGUCUGGAAGGAAGCAGCGGUAAGCGGUGUCUUCCGGGUGCCGCAGGGUCGCCUGGCUUGAGUCGCCGCUGUAGCCAUGCUCGCGGCUGGGAAUCGAAUUGAGGUGCACGA
rnacentral:SRP_RNA from 1 species